AGUGAACGCUGGCGGUAGGCCUAACACAUGCAAGUCGAACGGCAGCACAGUAAGAGCUUGCUCUUACGGGUGGCGAGUGGCGGACGGGUGAGGAAUACAUCGGAAUCUACUUUUUCGUGGGGGAUAACGUAGGGAAACUUACGCUAAUACCGCAUACGACCUACGGGUGAAAGCAGGGGAUCUUCGGACCUUGCGCGAUUGAAUGAGCCGAUGUCGGAUUAGCUAGUUGGCGGGGUAAAGGCCCACCAAGGCGACGAUCCGUAGCUGGUCUGAGAGGAUGAUCAGCCCAACUGGAACUGAGAAACGGGCCAGACUCCUAAGGGAGGGCGCAGUGGGGAAUAUUGGACAAUGGGCGGAAGCCUGAUCCAGCCAUACCGCGUGGGUGGAGAAGGCCUUCGGGUUGUAAAGCCCUUUUGUUGGGAAAGAAAAGCAGCAGGUUAAUACCCCGCUGUUCUGACGGUACCCAAAGAAUAAGCACCGGCUAACUUCGUG
rnacentral:rRNA from 1 species